UACGUAGGGGGCAAGCGUUGUCCGGAAUCAUUGGGCGUAAAGAGCGUGUAGGCGGCUCGAUAAGUCUGCUGUGAAAGUCCAGGGCUCAACCCUGGAAGGCCGGUGGAAACUGUCGGGCUAGAAUCCGGAAGAGGCGAGUGGAAUUCCCGGUGUAGCGGUGAAAUGCGCAGAUAUCGGGAGGAACACCAAUGGCGAAGGCAGCUCGCUGGGACGGUAUUGACGCUGAGACGCGAAAGCGUGGGGAGCAAGCAGG
rnacentral:rRNA from 1 species